rnacentral:rRNA from 1 species
UACGAAGGGGACAAGCGUUGUUCGGAAUUAUUGGGCGUAAAGGGCGCGUAGGCGGACUUGUAAGUCGCUUGUGAAAUCCCUGGGCUCAACCCGGGAACUGCAGUCGAAACUGCAAGUCUUGAAUGCUCGAGAGGAUGGUAGAAUUCCUGGUGUAGCGGUGGAAUGCGCAGAUAUCAGGAGGAACACCGAUGGCGAAGGCAGGUCUCUGGGCCAUUACUGACACUGAGAAGCGAAAGCAUGGGGAGCGAACAGG